AAGUCGAACGCACUCUCGUUUAGAUUGAAGGAGCUUGCUCUGAUUGAUAACAGUUUGAGUGAGUGGCGGACGGGUGAGUAACACGUGGGUAACCUGCCCUAAAGUGGGGGAUAACAUUUGGAAACAGAUGCUAAUACCGCAUAAAACCUAACACCGCAUGGUGUAGGGUUGAAAGAUGGUUUCGGCUAUCACUUUAGGAUGGACCCGCGGUGCAUUAGUUAGUUGGUGAGGUAAAGGCUCACCAAGACCGUGAUGCAUAGCCGACCUGAGAGGGUAAUCGGCCACACUGGGACUGAGACACGGCCCAGACUCCUACGGGAGGCAGCAGUAGGGAAUCUUCCACAAUGGACGAAAGUCUGAUGGAGCAACGCCGCGUGAGUGAAGAAGGUUUUCGGAUCGUAAAACUCUGUUGUUGGAGUAGAAUGUAUCUGAUAGUAACUGAUCAGGUAGUGACGGUAUCCAACCAGAAAGCCACGGCUAACUACGUG
rnacentral:rRNA from 1 species